GACCAGACUCCUACGGGAGGCAGCAGUGAGGAAUAUUGGUCAAUGGGCGGAAGCCUGAACCAGCCAAGUCGCGUGAGGGACUAAGGCCCUGCGGGUCGUAAACCUCUUUUGCCGGGGAGCAGUGGUCCGGACGCGUCCGGACCGGGAGAGUACCCGGAGAAAAAGCAUCGGCUAACUCCGUGCCAGCAGCCGCGGUAAUACGGAGGAUGCGAGCGUUAUCCGGAUUUAUUGGGUUUAAAGGGUGCGUAGGCGGUCGGAUAAGUUAGAGGUGAAAUCCCGAGGCUCAACUUCGGAAUUGCCUCUGAUACUGUUCGGCUAGAGAGUAGUUGCGGUAGGCGGAAUGUAUGGUGUAGCGGUGAAAUGCUUAGAGAUCAUACAGAACACCGAUUGCGAAGGCAGCUUACCAAGCUACUUCUGACGUUGAGGCACGAAAGCGUGGGGAGCAAACAGGAUUAGAUACCCGGGUAGA
rnacentral:rRNA from 1 species